AUUGAACGCUGGCGGCAGGCUUAACACAUGCAAGUCGAGCGGUAACAGAGAGAAGCUUGCUUCUCUGCUGACGAGCGGCGGACGGGUGAGUAAUGCCUAGGAAUCUGCCUAGUAGUGGGGGAUAACUUGCCGAAAGGUAAGCUAAUACCGCAUACGUCCUACGGGAGAAAGGAGGGGACCUUCGGGCCUUUCGCUAUUAGAUGAGCCUAAGUCGGAUUAGUUAGUUGGUGAGGUAAUGGCUCACCAAGACCGCGAUCCGUAACUGGUCUGAGAGGAUGAUCAGUCACACUGGAACUGAGACACGGUCCAGACUCCUACGUGAGGCAGCAGUGGGGAAUAUUGGACAAUGGGGGGAACCCUGAUCCAGCCAUGCCGCGUGUGUGAAGAAGGUCUUAGGAUUGUAAAGCACUUUAAGUUGGGAGGAAGAGCAGUUAACUAAUAUUUGACUGUUUUGACGUUACCGACAGAAUAAGCACCGGCUAACUUCGUGCCAGCAGCCGCCGCAG
rnacentral:rRNA from 1 species